UUUUAUUGUUUAAUAAACAGGUUUUUUCCACCUUUCCGCAGGGACAUAUUUUUCCCUCCCGGACCAGUUGGAGGGAGGGGCUGAUUGGAUCUGCUUUUCCCACCGGAGCUCCUUUGGGGGAUUCUUCCCCAAAUUUACUCUAAACCUGGACACCCUGUCACUGUUUGUGCUGUUACACCCUGCCUUGUGCUUUGUGAAGGUAGCACUGCCAGCAGAGAGUCUGGUUCUUCUUUCCUGCGUAAUUUCCACCUGAGCAGCACUGACAGACAGGAUGGCCAAGAACAGAAUCUGAGGAGUAUGAGGGGCUACAAGAACAGGGCAUAAGAAUGGGAAAUUUCCUGUGCUGGGGAAACUGCCUGCAUUUAAAAGCACUCUGCAAUAUUCUGCAAUGGGAUAUUUUUCUCCCAGCUCCAAGAGGACUGAAAAAAAAUAAGAAUUUUUGUGAGUAACCAUCCAGCUGGGGACUGUGCCAUUUCAUUUUCCUACUUGUUGUGUAUACCCUGCAAAAAACCUGACAACCAUUAGGUUACAAGAAUUAUUUUGCUACUUUAAAAAUCAAGAAAAGAUGAUAUUUCAUUGCAAUCAUGGGCAUUUACAAAGGUAAUCUGAAACUGC
rnacentral:lncRNA from 1 species